CGUCCUGUCAGCCCGUUCCGCAGGCUUGCUAAUGGAGAGCGAGCGCUUCAGGUGACCUGGCGUGAGCCAUUACUGUUCCCGGGACUCAGUUUCCUCCUCUUUGAGACAGAGGGUCUUCAUCGGUGAUGAACUGAUCGAAACUCAGUCGCCUCUUCUUCAGGACCUUCCCGUCGGCUGCCAGCACCACCACACUCUCCUUGAAGGUCUUCAAAGACGUCGGGGACCUUGGCCAUCUUGCCUGCGGUGCCAGCGAUCCAGCUCCACCCUUCCUGAGCUGCUGGAGAAAUGUAAGGUGUGACUUAGCCCCCACACACAUCUCCGUCCUUUUCACUCCUGUGCAUUAAUUGUAUGUAUGUUUCCCCAGCGACUCAAAACCUCUUGGCAUCCCACCAUGUCCAGCCCAGCAUGUGCACACAGCAGGCAUUCAGUGAGGUUUGGGUAAGGUGAAAAACCCCACAGGAAUGAGGAGUUUGCCUCACAAGAUGCAAGAGAGGCAGAGCCGGAAAUUUCCAGCGUUUUCCCCUGAUGGUUUUUGGAAGUAGAGCUACCCAGAGGGAAGGCUUGGCUGCACUGCUUGCCCUCACAGGAAGGCAGCUCCUGUGUUCCUCAGUCCCCAACUAGAGGAAGAGUCGUUUCUUUAAUUUCAUUGUGAUUCUAGCUCACACACCAAGCCAGGGAGGGGCCAGAAAGGAAGGAGCAGGCUUUAGCUUCAGAGAGGCAGUUAGAGAGAGAACAGUCAAGGAGAAGAACAAAAAAACAUUUUAAAAGCUGAAGAUGUGAGGACAUUACCUUUGCCGACUCAGGUGCCAGUGAGGUGGCCCUCAGGCACCCUGGCCUUUUGUCUUCUGUGCAGUAGGCGUGGCCUUGUGCGUCAUGGGGAAUUCACAGGGAAGAACCCUGUUUUGAAUCUUUUUAUGUUCAUUCAAUCUCAUACUGGCCAAAAUAAUGACAUUAUACUUGUUAUUGCUCUUUGUAGAGACUCCUGGAGCUGCCGACUCGAUUCACUUAUUUAUUGCUUUGUUCUAAACAAUUAUAAACACAGAAUCUUAGAAAAAGGGAAGACAAGCAGGAAACUUACCAAGUUUCUAAAAAAUAUGGUGGGAGAGGAAGGAGAACUGAAAUCAAUCACGGAUGUCUAGGGUUGGAGAGCGGCUUAGGAGCUGUAGUUUGAGUUUUGGCCUAAUUUUUUUAUGGCCCUGGGGCCGAUUAUGUGUCGACAGGGUGCCUGGCAGCCCCUGGGAACUAAGGGGUGGCUGUUGAGGGAAGAGGACCUGACAUUUCUGAAGGGAAAAGAGAGAGGUUGGCUUGAGUAGGCCUAAAUCAUUCAGUAUAUGGGUGACAACCCCCUGGUUAGGGCAGAACAAAGGUGAGAAGGGGACAGUCAAGCACAAAGGGCUUCUCCUCUUACACCUCUGCAGACCGUCACACAUCCCCCACAGAAUGACAGCUUUGGGAGAGCUCUGUGCCCUGGCCGCAUUACAGCCAAGUGACUGUCCACUGGAGCCCCUGAACAGUGUGCUCUUCCCUAGGACAGACCCUAGGCAUGUGAGGGUGGCUGUGGACUUGGGGCUGGGUGGGCUGAGCCCUGCCACAGGCCAGGGGUGAGGUGCAGGAGUAGAAGUGGGGAAGGCAGGGACUCAGGUAUGGCAGCACAUCAGCCUUUUCAGGAUUCUGAGAUGAGCCCAGUUCAGGUAGACAACACCAGGCUCUCAACAGGUAAAUGUUUCAGAUUUCUGGCUUAGAGUUUAAGCCAAGUAAAUUUAAAAGAAAGGAAAUGGAUGGAAGAAGAGAGUAGAGGAAGAAAAAAAGGUAAAGAGAGAAAGGCCAGGCAUGGCAACACGGUAUAAAAGCAACACGGUAUAAAAGCAACACGGUAUAAAAGCAACACGGUAUAAAAGCAGUGUAGCAUUGGGCAUACGUGGCCUGAGCGGGUCACGUAGCAUGUCCCCUCUGGGCCUGCUCAUUAAGUUCUGGGGUCAGUCAGCUGGUCGCCAAGGUCCAGCCAGGUGCAGAGGCUCUGGUUCUGACUGUUGCUCAGUCCAGUCCCCCAGUCAUAGACCUGGUGCUGCAAUUGUUGUAAACAGGAGCUAGGACAUAGCUGGCAUCCUGGAUGUAGGUCCAGGUUGGGCAGAGCUUGGGUGGCAAGAUGGUCAAUGGGGAUGGUGGCCAGCUCCCUGCACCUGUGGUUCCCCUUCAGGUAUCACAGGAGGUUGGCGUGGCCACGCUCUGCCAUCCGGAGGUCUUGUGAGGGCUGUUACUAAGCACACUGUGAAUGUGGGCUGCUACGGAGAUGCAACUAAACAAAGUAACAGCAGCACUAAUGACGGCUCUGUCCCUGGAACCUGUAUCAUCGUCAUCAUGCCACCUUGGGCCACCAAAGGAAAAAUAGCGCUUGUGGAAAUGUUGGUGAAAAAACUUGAGCAGGGAGGACAUGAGCAGGACCUAGCAUGCUCUACUGGAGAAGGAGUCACCUCAGAGGCUGUCUGGAUUAAACUCUUACUUUUUAAAAGAGGAAACAGGCUCCGAGAGGGAACUCAUGGCCCCAAGGUCACAUGGAGGGGUCAUAUGAGAGUGGGGGCAAAAAUGGAAACUCACUGUUUCUUGAUUUCUAGUUCAAAGUGUCCUACUACCUAGAGACACAGGCUCCUCCGUGAGAGGGCAAGGAGAAGGAGCAGUCUCUUCGCUUCUCACCUGAAGUGGAAAAGGAGCUGACGGGAAUGACUCCAUUCGGUGAGCAAAGCCUGCCAUGGUCCCCGCUGUCCUGGAGCUGAGGGUGAAGAUCACCCGAGUGGGUGACAAGCACACGCCAUCCCAGAUUGGGACACUGGAGAUGCUUACCACUACACCAGCCUCAUGAGGAUGGCUGAAGGAGGAGAGAAGAUCAGAAAUAUGGCUGACAAAAUGGCAGCACCUACAUAUCUAUCAGCAGUUACUUUAAAUGUAAAUGGAUUAAAUGCACCGAUCAAAAGACAUAGGGUGGGUGGCUUACAAGAGGUUCACUUCAGAUUGAAAGACACACAGACUGA